rnacentral:rRNA from 1 species
GAGCGGCAGCACGGGUACUUGUACCUGGUGGCGAGCGGCGGACGGGUGAGUAAUGCCUAGGAAUCUGCCUGGUAGUGGGGGAUAACGCUCGGAAACGGACGCUAAUACCGCAUACGUCCUACGGGAGAAAGCAGGGACCUUCGGGCCUUGCGCUAUCAGAUGAGCCUAGGUCGGAUUAGCUAGUUGGUGAGGUAAUGGCUCACCAAGGCGACGAUCCGUAACUGGUCUGAGAGGAUGAUCAGUCACACUGGAACUGAGACACGGUCCAGACUCCUACGGGAGGCAGCAGUGGGGAAUAUUGGACAAUGGGCGAAAGCCUGAUCCAGCCAUGCCGCGUGUGUGAAGAAGGUCUUCGGAUUGUAAAGCACUUUAAGUUGGGAGGAAGGGCAUUUACCUAAUACGUAAGUGUUUUGACGUUACCGACAGAAUAA